AUACCACCACUGCAAUUGUGAUUUGAGUAAUGAAAGCCCUUUGGUAGUGGUCUCCUAUGCAAAAUGCAAAGUGUAUCUCACUAUAUGGGAGGAAGUAAACUUGGGAGAGCAUGUGCUUGCCUCUUAGUAGAUCAAAGAACAAGCUGCAUGAGAUCAGUUUAAUAAAGCAGUCAGAUAGCUGCAUGCAAUUUGAAAACUAUUUUACAUCAAGGAUCUGAAAAUCUUCAUUAAGAUUAGUGUGGAUACAGGACAGUCGAGAUCAGUACACUAAGGAGCGUCUAGAUUCAGUAAUUGAUCAGUACACUAAGCGUAUGGAUUCAGUAACUACUGUACUAUUUUGAGUAAACAUAUUGUUGGCUACUUCAGUAUUCAGUAUUCAGUAAACAGAUUGUUGGCUAAA